AAGGAUAAUUGAGGAAAAAAAAAAAUCAAGAUUUGGGGGGAAUUACCUACAAAGAUGUAAGGUCAUAGCGACUUUUGGGAUAGUUUGCUAUCGACAAAGGGAGACAAAGUCAAGGGGUGAAGGGAAAGGAGGGCCAAGUAGAGCCUCCACGACCCUCGGCUUCCUCCUCACCAGCUCCCCCUCCCUCCAAGUCCAGUAAGAAGUUGGGCCAAGCUGGAAGGGAUUGACCGGGGAACCAGAUCUUGAUCUGGCGCUCGGACAGGCAGAGUGCGUGGGCGAUCUCGAUGCGCCGUCGCCGGGUCAGGGCUUUGGGGAGGGGGUGGGAGAGACGACAGGUCUGGGAUCAGGGAGUCUUCAAGGCCCCCGCUGAGGGGACAGCGAAUCUACCAUUGAACCGUGCACGGGGGACAUGGACAAAAUGAGACGCGACAGGGACAAGAGCAUUUUGCUCUGCUUCCAGGAAACAUCAAGCGUCGGUUCUGGAACCAUAUCUUGAUCUGCCUCUCCGUCAGGCACAGGGCGUGCGCGAUCUCGAUGCGCCGCCGCCGCGUCAGGUUGCUUGUCUGGAGAUGGAGCCACUACAGGCGGGCCUGGGCGCCUGGAGUCGGGCAUGAAAGAAAAUAGCGCCUCAUCGCUCUUAUCUAAGCCCAGAGGUCCAGGGGACAACCUGAGGGCCCUGAAGUGUUUCAAUACCAUGUACCAGCUUGACUUCUCUACAUGUCCUUUGGAUUGCCCAAAAGCAAAAUCUCAGAGGGGCCAAGGACCUUCUAGGGCUGGCUCCCUCAGGGCCUCCUAUAGAGCAGCUCCUUGAGUCGGGCCUUAUAGCCACCAGAAAGUCACCUCGCCGCAGGAAAGCUAUAAAGAGCUGCUCCAGAGGCGCCGAAAGAGGGUGAGGGCUGCAGCCACAGUGUUUGUCCCCAGCACCACCAGGCCCCUUAACCUCGUCAGCUCCUCUAGCCCUCGGCCAGACUCUGGCAACACCUUGGUUUGCCUGGCACCGCAGGCAAUUUCCUGGAACCCCACCCCCACCCAGGAACGGGGACCACAGCACCUUUAAAGGAACUGCCAGAGCUUCCUCCUACGGCUUGAAAGCCCAAGCUAAUCAGUAACCCGUGAGACAGGGGCCAAUAUUCAAACGCUGCAGCAGAUAGACUUCGCUUGAAAAGAUCGAGAAUGGAGGAGGGGAUCGGCACUCACUUGCAGACAUCAACAGUUUCCAGAAAAUUCGGUUCAAUUCCUUCACCACGGACCCACCAACCAAGGAGCUGGCAAAACCCACUAACCAACCAGGAGAACACAGACCCGGUUUGUCUUUUGACAACCGAGUGGAACUGACGGGGCCGGCGCCUGCCCUGCGGGUCCCCUCCCUUGGCUGAGAAGAAAACCAAAUAAACCUUGAACAGCCUUGGCUUGAAGCCGCUUCCCUUGCCAGCCGCCAGGCGUUUCCUCUCCCUCGCCGGCCUCGGCGGAGAUUCCAGGCCCUAUAGAAACCAGGACGUCCCUUAGCGCCACCGCCUCACAUGCCAGUGCUGCCGGGAACCCAGCGAUAUCCGCACCAGGGGAGAAGGUUCCAGGCUGCCGGCGGCGGCGCAGAGAGCGGGAAGAGAGGCUCGGAGGAAGCCCCGGGCGUGGCGUGGUCAGGCUCCGAGAGCGGCCGGGAUGCGGCCACACCGGCCUGGUAAACUCGCACCUCUUAGGAUCUUGCUCCCGGACUCAUUCCCUUCCCCACCCCCUAUUUUAAAGUUUUAUUUGGGUCGUCUGUAUCAAUUUAGAACGAGAUAAAUUAAGACAAAGAAAGUAAAAUAAAUCGAAAUAAAAUAUAGGAAUAGCUCUUGGCGAAAAU
rnacentral:lncRNA from 10 species